CACCGGAGUACCCCUUUAAUAAUGUAGCACAAACCUCUACGUUAUUUGAUAGAGCAGAAUCCAUUAAAAAAAAAAAAACGUAUAUCACGCUGUUUGGAAGCAAUAUAGUAACCAGCAUUUCACACCGCCAUCUUGAAGCGUCUCCAUCAUAACAAAGUUAUAUUUUUUCGCAAUUUCUUACAACUAGGGAGAGUUUUGCAUCUUGCACCUGUAAAUCCUGUAACGGUGAGGUGCACGUUGCGGGUGAUUCGGCAGAACUUGCAGCCAAUUCUGGUGUCCAGUCUAACCCAGGAGACUUGGCUGCAGACAGCAAACGACUUUCAGUUUGUGGCACAAUUCUCCAACUCCAUAGGCCCCGCCAGAGCCACAUCUGUCAUUCAGGACCAUGAAACAGCAGAGUUGUGAUGUCACGGAGGUUGUCACCCAGCUUUCCCAGGCACAGAUAUAGCGGAUCUGUAUUUUCUGGUAUCUCAUCACUUGUCCGUCCUCCAUUCCUCUGCGGUUCAGGGCGGGGGUUGUCAUCUCACGUGUGAUGUAGCAGAGUCCACUGAGCGCUGAGCAGGGACACCCGCAGAUUGUUGACUGUAAAGUUUGG